GGGUGUGAUCAUACCAGCACUAAUGCACCGAAUCCCAUCAGAACUCCGAAGUUAAGCGUGAUUGGGCGAGAGUAGUACUAGGAUUGGUGACCUCCUAGGAAGUCCUCGUGUUGCACCAC
rnacentral:rRNA from 1 species